AAAUAUGAAGUAAAACUUACAAUUAAUUUCGACUUAAUAAUAUGAUUAUAAAAAUAAUCCAUAUUUA
rnacentral:tRNA from 1 species